AUACGUAGGGUGCGAGCGUUAAUCGGAAUUACUGGGCGUAAAGCGUGCGCAGGCGGUUUUGUAAGACAGGCGUGAAAUCCCCGGGCUCAACCUGGGAAUGGCGCUUGUGACUGCAAGGCUAGAGUGCGUCAGAGGGGGGUAGAAUUCCACGUGUAGCAGUGAAAUGCGUAGAGAUGUGGAGGAAUACCGAUGGCGAAGGCAGCCCCCUGGGACGAGACUGACGCUCAUGCACGAAAGCGUGGGGAGCAAACAAGAUUAGAAACCCGGUAGUCC
rnacentral:rRNA from 1 species